AACGAACGCUGGCGGCAUGCCUAACACAUGCAAGUCGAACGAGACCUUCGGGUCUAGUGGCGCACGGGUGCGUAACGCGUGGGAACCUGCCCUUAGGUUCGGAAUAACUCCCCGAAAGGGGUGCUAAUACCGGAUAAUGUCUUCGGACCAAAGAUUUAUCGCCUUUGGAUGGGCCCGCGUUGGAUUAGCUAGUUGGUAGGGUAAAAGCCUACCAAGGCGACGAUCCAUAGCUGGUCUGAGAGGACGAUCAGCCACACUGGGACUGAGACACGGCCCAGACUCCUACGGGAGGCAGCAGUGGGGAAUAUUGGACAAUGGGCGAAAGCCUGAUCCAGCAAUGCCGCGUGAGUGAUGAAGGCCUUAGGGUUGUAAAGCUCUUUUACCCGGGAUGAUAAUGACAGUACCGGGAGAAUAAGCUCCGGCUAACUCCGU
rnacentral:rRNA from 1 species